UACAGAGGUCUCAAGCGUUGUUCGGAUUUAUUGGGCGUAAAGGGCGCGUAGGCGGCGGGGUAAGUCGGGUGUAAAAUCUCAGGGCUCAACCCUGAAACUGCACUUGAUACUGCUCUGCUUGAGGACUGGAGAGGAGACUGGAAUUCACGGUGUAGCAGUGAAAUGCGUAGAUAUCGUGAGGAAGACCAGUGGCGAAGGCGGGUCUCUGGACAGUUUCCUGGACG
rnacentral:rRNA from 1 species